CGGAAAGGGUAUCGCCUCGAGCUAGCUUGCUAUCGAGGACGCGUUGAUAGGUGGUCUACCUCUCGUUGUUUUAUUUUGGAGAGGUUUUGGAGAGUUACCUGUGUAUAGAGACCACCCCACUGUGGAUUUCUUUGAGAUUCUUAUUAUACCUUUUUAUGUUUAUGCUUAAUGGACUACUUUACUCCUUCUCUACUUGUUGUUAGUUUUAGUUGUUAGCAGCUCUGAUAUCUCUAGAUACGUGUUUCUUUUUGCUUUCGCAUCUCUUUUGUUGUAGACGCCUUAUAUGCGCAGGCAUAUGGUGGGUCUGGACACGCGCCGGGCGGGCCUAGGCCGGGUCCCGGGGCGUGACAAAAGAAGUGUGACUUCUGGCUCCGAGAGGUCGUAUUUCUAGGGCAUGUGAUUUCUGCGGUUGGAGUUU
rnacentral:lncRNA from 1 species